GGGGGGACUCCGCUCCCCUGAGUUGUGCUCCAGGGACAAACUCACCAAUGGGGACUCUUCUUCCAUGUCCAGCCAGGGUAUUUUUGGAGCCCUGAGAGAAAUCAGUAUCACAUGGUUAGAUGAACAGAACGUUUCAUCCGUGUCUUAUGAGAGCAUGGUCUCACCCUUUUAAAAGAAAACAUCAAAGAAGCUACCAACAAAAGCCAACACUAUGCCUUACAAAAGCAGACCAGAAUCACUGUCUCUCUAGACUGGGACAGCGUUAUAUCAUGCCCAAGGCAUCAGGAGCCCGUAAGCAGCACCGAAUGAUGACCCCAAGUUACACAGAAAGCCCAAAGGUGCCAUCCCCACUCUGUAUAGCUUCGUGGCACACAAGACCAAGAAACAAACAGAACAAUGGUACAGGCCACCUCGAGAAUCAUGGUAGAGGAGGACACAAGGGAGAUUCUUAAUUUUGCCAUCUCUUGGUUUGGUUGCUCAAAGUUUAAUAGUUAUAGAAUUUGAAGGUAUUCAAUGCUGAGGUUAGAGAGGGUCAUCUUUAUAUAAAUUCUGAACAAUAUUAUUCUUCUGCCUGUGUCAGAGAACAAGAUAUUCUGAUCAGCCCUGGCUAAGCCAAAGCACAGUGCUUCUACUCCUUAGUUCAGUCACAGAAAGGCGUAUCUCCUUCACCCUUUGUCCCAGUUCUGGUGAAAUGUUGGCCUGACUGGAGCACCUGGGUGGCUCAUUCAUUAAGCGUCUGCCUACGGCUU